AGUUGAGGAGAGACUAGGCCCGGUUUUCCCUGCGUCAAGUUGACGUUCAUGGCGUCUCCAGCGUCCCGAGAAUGGGGACACGUAUACAUAGGUCACGACCCCGUAAUAUGUAGGCCGUGGAAUGGUUUACACUCCACAAUUCGUUGGUCAGAUUGAAUGGGGCCGUACUCCAUUUCUCUCGCUUUGGGAAAGUCUCCCGGGCCCGACAAAUAUGUCCACACCACCCCUCCUUGUCCAAGGCCGAGGUUCAUGACAAGUUCUUGCUGCCGCCUGCAUACGAUCGACUGCUGCUGGCUGCCAGCCGUGCCCGUUGAGAGUCCAACUUCGUCCGGGACUUAUUACCGAGACUUUUUUCCCCUUGGAUUAAAGUCUCAAUCUUCGCUCCAAAUGUCAGUAGUUUGAAAAGUGGAGGCCAACUGUGCUUUUUGUGAGAUCCAUCGCUCUACAGUCCCACCGAAGGGAGAGCAGUAAGUCGACCAAUAGAGACUCUACAACCACAAUUCGAUAUUUCAACUGAAGUGUGUGACAAGUGUUUGUUUAAUCCCCCGCAGGAAUGUGAAAGUUUUCGGAGUAUCUCCGGAAAGACACAAUUGCAGACGGAACGACUCCACAAAAAACUCGACAUCAUCGAGGUGACUUUUUCUCAUGUAUAUUUGUAUGAUUGAGUUUUCUUUGGCCAUGGGUGCCCAUACAACAAACGGCCAAACCUUGUUAUGUUCUGAGUCCACCCCCAGCUUAGGUAGCACCAAGCAGUGGCGGUGUGCCACGUAUUGUUGAAGAAUCUCUAAUGACCAGAUCUGUAUAAAAUGGAUGCGGCUUCCGGUUUUGGAAUACAUGUAUACAGUUUCCCAAGCCUGAAUUAACGGGUUCGAUAUUCUCGUUGCAUUAUGGGAUUGGAUGACAUUGACAGACAGGCAAGAUAUUUUGUGCAGAAACCACAUGGAGAGGUUAAUCCGUCACUUAUUAAUCAGUCACCAUCUUAUCAAAUAUUCUAUCAUAAUAUCAAGUUAUAUCUUUCAUACUGUUCAUUGGUAGUUGAGUAUAAAAUUAUUAAAAAUUUGAAAGCUUAUCAGAAAAAAAGGAGAAAGUGUGGAGAAAUCCCUUUCACUAGCAUCAGUUUUGUCUAAAGGUAUGGAAUUAAAUGUCAGUGAACAUAUACUGAAUCGGA